UCAGGUAGGUAACUCAAGCUACGUAGCUAAAUCUAGUGAUUGUACUGGACCUAAUAACUACAGUAAAAUAUCACGACAACGAAUUCAACUCCAAAUUCCAUAGGGAACACCUUAUUUAUGAAUGUAACCACUCGUCGACUCGAUCUGGCAUACUACAGUAGCAUCCGGCACCAUUCAAACCCACCUCCUUAGACAUAUACGAGACAAUAGGCGUUAAAACGAAAGCUUUAGUUUCUGCAUAGUACUGGAAACUUACCUGGUUAAUCCCUCGUUACCUAGUCUUCAUGGCUGACACAAAAACUAUACGUAAAUUCAAAGAUGUUCUUGCAUUUCAGCUUUUGUGUGAAUACUUCACAACCACAAAAAGCAGACCAAAUGGCGUUAGAUUUGUCAGCAGAAGAGAAGUCAACUGAGGAGUUACUGACCUUGUUUGACGAGAUGUUUAAGACUCGCUAUACAGAAGAUGACUCAGAGUACAUGGAGACAGUCAACACCCCCACCCCACCCCCACCCUGCAUCAGAAACUGGUUCCAGAAAAACAGGGGCAACUUCAGAAACAGAGGUGGUUACCAGGAUCGACGUGGAGGGCGUCACCAUGACAACAGCAACAGGGAAGGUCAUGGAUAUAGAGAUGAGAUGAUAAUCGGGGUAACAGAGACAAUGAUCGAGAGCGUUCUGAUUAUGGUGGUAACAACAGAGACCGUUACCGUGACAACCGCAAUUCAGGAGGAUAUAGGGACAGGGAUCAGAGAUGACCAUUGGACAAUCAAAAGGCAUUUCACUGGUUGGAAGCAGUUGAAUGAAGGCAUUCAAUUGGCUGGAAGGAUCCAAUUACAAAAUUUUCUUCCAGUAAUAAUUUUGUUAGCUGUUUAACAGCAUGUGCAUCUUUGCAUUCUUAAAGACUGAACUUUUGUUUAUUGUACUAUGUUGUUUAGCAGAUGUUGAUUGUGGUAGAAACUUCACACAAUAUAAUAAAAGGCAGAUCCUCGAUGCACCUGAUUGAUGAUGUAUGUAACUAUGAUUAUUGAAUCAGAUAUGUCGCCUCGUAGGUGUUAUACAAUCACAGUAGAUAUGUCGCCUCGUAGGCGUUAUACAAUUACAGUAAUCAUCAAGGAUUUGAUUUAAUCAGAUCGAAGCUUCUUAAUGGUUAGGUCCAUUCAAAAAUAAAUAAAUUAUGAGAAAUUU
rnacentral:misc_RNA from 1 species